rnacentral:rRNA from 1 species
CCUUAGGAAAAGAAAUCAAUUGAGAUUCCCUCAGUAGCGGCGAGCGAACGGGGAUCAGCCCAUUAAGUUAUGUGUGUUUUAGUGGAACGCUCUGGGAAGUGCGAACGUAGAGGGGGAUAUUCCCGUACACGAAAGGGCACACAUAAUGAUGACGAGUAGGGCGAGGCACGUGAAACCUUGUCUGAAUAUGGGGGGACCAUCCUCCAAGGCUAAAUACUCCUGACUGACCGAUAGUGAACCAGUACCGUGAGGGAAAGGCGAAAAGAACCCCUGUGAGGGGAGUGAAAUAGAUCCUGAAACCGCAUGCAUACAAGCAGUGGGAGCACCUUCGUGGUGUGACUGCGUACCUUUUGUAUAAUGGGUCAGCGACUUAUAUUCAGUAGCAAGGUUAACCGUAUAGGGGAGCCGUAGAGAAAUCGAGUCUUAAUAGGGCGUUUAGUUGCUGGGUAUAGACCCGAAACCAGGCGAUCUAUCCAUGAGCAGGUUGAAGGUUGGGUAACACUAACUGGAGGACCGAACCCACUGUCGUUGAAAAGCCAGGGGAUGACUUGUGGAUAGGGGUGAAAGGCUAAUCAAGCCUGGUGAUAGCUGGUUCUCCCCGAAAGCUAUUUAGGUAGCGCCUCGGACGAAUACCAUAGGGGGUAGAGCACUGUUUCGGCUAGGGGGUCAUCCCGACUUACCAAACCGAUGCAAACUCCGAAUACCUAUGAGUACUAUCCGGGAGACAGACUGCGGGUGCUAACGUCCGUAGUCAAGAGGAAAACAAUCCAGACCGCCAGCUAAGGCCCCAAAAUCAUAGUUAAGUGGGAAACGAUGUGGGAAGGCAUAGACAGCUAGGAGGUUGGCUUAGAAGCAGCCACCCUUUAAAGAAAGCGUAAUAGCUCACUAGUCGAGUCGGCCUGCGCGGAAGAUGUAACGGGGCUAAAACUAUGUGCCGAAGCUGCGGAUGUAUACUUUGUAUACGUGGUAGGGGAGCGUUCUGUAAGCCGAUGAAGGUGUGUUGAGAAGCAUGCUGGAGGUAUCAGAAGUGCGAAUGCUGACGUGAGUAACGACAAAACGGGUGAAAAACCCGUUCGCCGAAAGACCAAGGGUUCCAGUCCAACGUUAAUCGGGGCUGGGUGAGUCGACCCCUAAGGCGAGGCCGAAAGGCGUAGUCGAUGGGAAAAUGGUUAAUAUUCCAUUACUUCUGUGUAAUGCGAUGAGAGGACGGAGAAGGCUAAAUCAGCCUGGCGUUGGUUGUCCAGGUGAAAGGAUGUAGGCAUGUAUCUUAGGCAAAUCCGGGGUACUCUAUGCUGAGAUCUGAUAGCAAGCUGUACUUGUACAGCGAAGUGGUUGAUGCCAUGCUUCCAGGAAAAGUCUCUAAGCUUCAGUUACACAGGAAUCGUACCCGAAACCGACACAGGUGGUCAGGUCGAGUAGACCAAGGCGCUUGAGAGAACUCUGCUGAAGGAACUAGGCAAAAUGGUACCGUAACUUCGGGAGAAGGUACGCUGUUGUUGGUGAUGGAACUCGCUUCCUGAGCUGACGACAGCCGCAGAAACCAGGCCGCUGCAACUGUUUAUUAAAAACAUAGCACUCUGCAAACACGAAAGUGGACGUAUAGGGUGUGAUGCCUGCCCGGUGCUGGAAGGUUAAUUGAUGGGGUUAGCGUAAGCGAAGCUCUUGAUCGAAGCCCCAGUAAACGGCGGCCGUAACUAUAACGGUCCUAAGGUAGCGAAAUUCCUUGUCGGGUAAGUUCCGACCUGCACGAAUGGCAUAAUGAUGGCGGCGCUGUCUCCAGCAGAGGCUCAGUGAAAUCGAAAUCGCUGUGAAGAUGCAGUGUACCCGCGGCUAGACGGAAAGACCCCGUGAACCUUUACUGCAGCUUGACACUGAACUUUGACCUUACUUGUGUAGGAUAGGUGGGAGGCUUUGAAGCUGGAACGCUAGUUCCAGUGGAGCCGUCCUUGAAAUACCACCCUGGUAA